rnacentral:rRNA from 1 species
AUGGGUGGCACCACGGCGCUCCCGCCGUCUCUGCUCCCGGGACGCAGCGCCGCCGCCGACCUCCACCCCUGCUCCUCCCGCGUGCGCGUAAACCCUGCCCUGAUGGCGAACCCCGCCGCUGAUGCCAAGAGGCCGAAGCGGCCCAUGCCCGUGCGCGACGGGCAGCCACUGGCGAAGCGCCUACACGGUGCCUGCUCCGGGGGCCAGCUCCUCCAUGCCGCGGUCGCCGCCAAGAUCAACAGCAGCAGCCUUCCGUGUCCCGGCACCACCAGCAGCGGCGAGGAUCCGAGAAGCCCGACGGCGACCAAGAACCCCGUGGCCAGCUCGCCGGAGACCGCGACGCAACCGAGCAUGCGCGAACUGAUCCAGAACGCCCGCCUCGCCAUGGCUCGUGCUGCCGCCCAAGGAGAAGAGGCCGGCCGUCGGCGUGACAUCGAGCGCAGCCGGGCGGAGGCCCGGCGGAAGGUGGAGCAGAUGGUGGACACCGUGCAGUUCAACGACCCGUGGAUCGAUCCCUCCGACGUGACCAAGUCCCCCGAGGAGCUGCUCCGAGCAAGGCAGGAAGCAUGGCGUUAUCAGGCUCAACUCAUUGCGAUGGCUCAUCAACGGGACAUGCAUGGAGGCGUUGCUCAAGCGAUGCUCAAGUGA